AUUGAACGCUGGCGGCAGGCCUAAUACAUGCAAGUCGAACGGUAACAUAAGAAAAGCUUGCUUUUCUUGAUGACGAGUGGCGGACGGGUGAGUAAGAUUUGGGAAACUACCUGAUAGAGGGGGACAACAGUUGGAAACGACUGCUAAUACCGCAUAAGCCCACGGUACCACAUGGUACAGUGAGAAAAGGAGAAAUCCGCUGAAAGAUGGACUCGCGUCUGAUUAGAUAGUUGGUGGGGUAAAGGCCUACCAAGACCAUGAUACGUAGCCGACCUGAGAGGGUGAUCGGCCACACUGGGACUGAGACACGGCCCAGACUCCUACGGGAGGCAGCAGUCGGGAAUAUUGCGCAAUGGAGGAAACUCUGACGCAGUGACGCCGCGUAUAGGAAGAAGGUUUUCGGAUUGUAAACUAUUGUCGUUAGGGAAGAUAAAAGACAGUACCUAAGGAGGAAGCUCCGGCUGACUACGUGCCAGCAG
rnacentral:rRNA from 1 species